UCAUCGUCCUCCUUACUAUUCCAAGUUGAUGUUAUGUCGUCGCCUUAUAGAAUUUGUGAAUAUAUUAUGAUAAGACUGACUGCUAUGUGUUUGUUAUUUCGAAUAAUAGUGUCCCAUACUGUAGCUGAUUUGUUUUAUUAUCCUUAUUGGGCAGCUAUUGAAUGUUUAUUCACCAAAGUUUGAAACUGGUGGAAAGUUUUGGCCUGUGGUUCACGACGCGACAAUAGUUUUCUUAGUAUUGAUGCAUGUUAUAGCCAUUGGGAUAUUUGGUUUGAAGAAACUCCCUUUAGCUUCAAGCUUAACAAUUCCCCUUCCAAUUCUCACUCUGUUAUUCAAUGGUUAUUGCCGGAGACGUUUCUUACCUAGUUUCAAAGGUUUUCCAGCUGAGUGCUUGAUCAACAAGGAUAGACUUGAUCAGAACGAUCCCACGAUAUCUUCUUUCUACGAGAAACUAGCCACAGCCUACCAAGAUCCUGCUAUGGAGCGAGUCAGACGUUCGGAAGCCAGCGAAAGUAGCACAACUCCACUUCUGGCCAGUUAUCGAUGAAGUCAAAGUUUUGUUUUUUUUUCUCACCACAAGAUUGCAUUUGUAAGCAUAAUGUCUGUACACUUGCUGUGUAUAUGCUUAUCUUAUCAACUAAUUUCUGAAAAUACACAUUUCUUUGUCCUUUUAGUGUCUGUCUGUAAAAAACUGUGAUUUGCACCUCUCACUCUCUCCUGUUGAAACAUUUGGAGGCUCAAAUCACUUAUUAACAGCUAUGAAGAUUGUGCUGUAAAUUGUAUGGCUGCAUAGUGGAGUUUGUUUGUUUGUUUAUUUGAGUCAAUUAGUUGGGAUUAAAUAGUUGAUUGUAUAAUGGUGAAGAAGAAGACUGGUGGGAUUUUGAUGAAACUCCAUGUGGAGCAAUCAGAAUUGAUGGUUGACAUA